ncrna:unclassified sequences Glutamine-II riboswitch (downstream peptide RNA)
GUCCGUUCAUCCCUUUAGUACGGGACGCAUGACACCUAAGCCAUGGAACGGGGGCUUGGG